CCAAACGAUUUUUGAAAGUUGGUAAGAUUAGCUUCUGUUUCUAACGAUGCAGUAAAUAUUCAUUUUUCGAUGCUUUUAUAAGCAGUGACCCGUAAUUCAAAAUAAAUGAAUAAUAAUAAUAAUAAUAUUUUUCUGUUAGUUUUGUUUAGUUAAAGUCAAAGUAUGAAAUAAAAAUAAACAGGUUUCUUAUUGUAAUACCAUUUCAAUUCUUUCAACUCAACACCAAACGAUUUAUGUCAGCACCAGGAGAUUAGCUUCUGUCUCUAACGAUGUAGUAAUACCCAAUUCUCUGUGUUAUCAUAAGCGGUGAACGAUUCAUCUCUUUAAAAGGAAACCACCAGAAAAGUCUCAAAAAUUUCUCUCUGCCCUGUCGACCUUUGUAUCUUGUUUCCCUCAUGUUCUAAGAACAAGACCUACAUACCAACAAAACAAGUGGGGAGUCGAACAUUUAGAGGAAAACCACGUGUUAAUGUGCGAAGAGAAAAACUAUGUAUAUUUCGCGACGAUUUGAUUGUUCUUUAGCUGGAAGAAAUGGAAAAGGAAGAAUCGCUGCUACUUAAACGGUAACCUUGAACUUUUCAAGAAAAGCAUUUGCUGCCAGAGACUGUAAGGAACAUCUGCUCAAAUAAAAUAAAUCAAGCUUUAAAUUUUGAUAUGAGAAGAUUAAAAAGACAUCGAGUUCGAUAGGAUAGAUUGUUAAACGAAAAAUCGAAGUAUGUAACAAUACAUUUUACCAAAUCAGCUGUUAUAACAAUUUCAGGAAACUGUAAUAACAUGUCGAAUUAAAUGCAUAUUGAAUGUAACAAACUGA